UGUUGCUGUGUGUUCUGUUAGUGUGUUUGUGUAUGGAGUCUAACUUUUGUUUCUGUGUUCCAGUUUUUGAGAUCCUCUUCUGGAAUUAGUUUUUGCCUGUUGCAUUCUGGACUCUGUUGGAGUGAAGUCUGGUGUGCAGGAGUCAGGGUUCCAGCUGCAUCUCAUUUACCUCAAUCAACCUCUGCUUCAUAUACCCGGUCAACCCUCCUCUCUGCAUCAGACCAUAGUCAAGAUGACCACACUACUAUUAGAACCUGACUCCUGCUACCGCUUCACUGCUGCCAUCCACCGGACCAUCCAACCACCACUGGACCUCACCACUAGCCGACCACUGGAUUACUCUGACGGAACCACUCCUGCUCGGAACCCAUUGGACCUGUUCGCCUCUCUGGAAACCUGGACUUGCUUUUCCCCUUUCUGCAA